UCGCACCCCGGCCCGGAGCCGCGAGAAGCCUCGGCCCGGCCCGUUCCUGCUGAACGCCCCCCUUCCAGCCGAGGGGCACACGCUUCGGCUGCCCUCUGCUUGCCGGGCCCCCGCUUGCACGCCGCACGGCGGCGGCAGACCGGGCCCUGGCCCGGCCCCCCGGGCCGGGGGUGACGGAGGCACGGUCGUUCCGCGCCCUGAGAGAGGCGUACGGCAGCGCUGGGAGCAAGGAAGGCCGUUAUGGAAAAGACCACACCAGAAGGAUCCGAUCAGCGCGUGGUACAACGAAAAGUUAAUGGUGGAAAAUAAAGCUGAUAAAGUAAAUGGAAACAUGAUUUAAAAGAGCCUGAAGUAGCAGAAACUCUAUGGAAACCUAAGGAUCUAUGUCAAGAUCUUGCCAUUUCAGAGGGAUUAAGCACACUGUCCACCAGGCCUGUUACCAAACACAGUUACUGUGAUUGCCUAUCAGUGGAAAGCCGUAUGAACUUUUCCAUUAAAACCAUUUACGUUCAUAAAAGUUGUCUCUCAAUUAUCUGGAAAUAAUUUUAAAAAAGCCCAAACCAACCCUGCCACUAAUAGAAAGCAUUACAGUUUUAGAGAAAAGAUCAAACUAGAGACACACUUGUAAUAAAGUGGGAAAGGGUGUAUCAGAAUACAUGGAUAUUCAGGGGCUGGGGAUUAAAACAUGGCACGUAGGUUUCUUCCUGCUGUUGCACUUGGCAGUGCUGCAUAACCCUGAAGUCUUAAAUAAAGCAUCUUUUUGACAUUACAUGCAUAGAAUAUUUCAUUAUAGACAGCUGCACCAGUCUUCCAGGUACACGUGUUCACA